rnacentral:misc_RNA from 1 species
GAUGAAGAACGUAGCGAAAUGCGAUACUUGGUGUGAAUUGCAGAAUCCCGUGAACCAUCGAGUCUUUGAACGCAAGUUGCGCCCGAAGCCAUUAGGCCGAGGGCACGCCUGCCUGGGCGUCACACGUCGUUGCCCCCCCAUCUACUCCUUCGGGAUUGCGGGGGGCGGAUGAUGGCCUCCCGUGCGCCUUGUCGCGCGGUUGGCAUAAAUACCAAGUCCUCGGCGACGCACGCCACGACAAUCGGUGGUUGCGAAACCUCGGUUGCCCGUCGUGUGCGGUCGUCGCGCAUCGAGGGCUCGAAAAAAUUGCCGGGUUCCGGCUCGGCUUUCAACGCGACCCCAGGUCAGGCGGGGUUACCCGCUGAAUUUAAGCAUAUCAAUAAGCGGAGGA